UUUGGGGCUGUUAUAAAGUAACUUACAGGUUGAAUACUAAGGUAUAGAACUCAAACUUUGAAAUAAUAUGAAAGUCUCAAAGUAGAAUAUAAUAUUAAGUAUAACAGAUUAUCUUAAAAUAUGCAUGCUAAUGUUCCCAUUCUAAAAUUUCACUGGACCUCUGUUUGACCUCUAAAUGUUCUAAAUUUAGUUACUUUAUUUGAUUUUUAUAUGUGCAAUUAAAAUAUUUCAAGAUAGCAAAUAACGCAAGACUUAAGAAUUUUAAAUCAUAACUCUCUAUCAUUUACAAUAACUGUUUCAUCGUGUGAAAGUAUUAUCUCCUUUCUCAAGGAGAACAGACUUGACAAGAAAGUGACAGCUUUAAAUCUGCAUUUCAUUAAACUCAAGUAAAUUCUUUGUCUCAACUUUUAGGAAGGUUAUAGACAGAACACUUACCUAUAUACUAGAAGUAAAUGUUAAAAUCCACCUCUUUAUAGAACAAACAACAUUGUUUUCAGCUUCAUAAAAUGUGAGCCUAAAUUUUUAUCAUUUUCUACUUGUACAAGAAAUAUAAACUUAUGUAACCUUAUUACAUUUAAUGAAGGUUGUAACCUUCUACUUUGAAAAUUAUAUUAUUAAACAUUAUAAACCUCAUUACAGUUCAAAAAUAUGAAACUAGAUCCUAUUUUACCUACUUAAAAUAGUGAGUUUUUUCCUCCUACCAAUACAUAAUUCCUCUCUGAUAAUCAACAAUCUUUUUUUUUUUUCCUUUGGCUGUUUCUUUCAUUUAGUUUUUUAG
rnacentral:lncRNA from 1 species